GUUAGUGAGGUACACUUUGGGGUCUAUGAUAGGCUUCCCAGGACUCUACUCAAAUGAGUAGAAUAGUGUCUUAGCUGGGUUGGUAGUAUGAUGGAAUUAUUGGGAGGUGCUCAAAGGGAGGAGGUUUGUGAACCCAGGAAGUUAUUGCUGGCUGUGUGCCCUUGAAAAUGCAUCUUUCAUGGCUUCUUCUUGUCCCGCCCCCUCCUCUGCUUCCUGUCAGUUAUGGUGUGAACAGCUCUCUUCUGCCAUGCCAUCACCAAUGAUGGUGCAAAUCAUGUGAAACUGUAAGCUGAGGUGUCUUUUCUUGAUUCCGGCAAGAUGACUACAUGGCCUGUAUAUGAAUCCUUCCAGAAGUGAGAUCUACCAAAGUCUAUCUGGCUGGUGCCUCUGCUGAGGAUGUGUAGACCUUGAGAGCUCCAGGCUAAGUGUCUCCCAGGCCACUUGUUGAGAUGAAAUGUUCAGUGAAUGAAAAUAGAUGAAGGAGGAACUCAAUCUGAUAAUAAGGACAGUGGAAGAGCAAGAGAAAAGAAAAUGAGUUAGAAAUAGUUCAUAAUUAAAUUAAUUAUGUGCCUGGUGGUGGUGCUUGUCUGCAGGCCAAAACUGAGUCUGAUAGAUGUACUCAAGAAGCUGAGACCUAGGAGAAACUUGGUAUCCCUUAGUUGGCAGAUGGACCAGUUAAGAUUCAUUUGAUUACACAUAAUA
rnacentral:lncRNA from 1 species